GUUCCCUUUGUCCCCGAGGCGCCGUCAGGUGGCGCAGCCCGCGGCCCUCGGGGCGCUCCAGUGCGGGCGCUGAGCUGAGAGGAGCGGAGCGGGAGGGCGGCUGUGUCCCCGGGCUGUGUCAGUGCGUUUCUCAGUGCGCUCCUCUGAACUCGCUCUAAAACCCCGCUAAGACUCGAGGGUGCCCUUCUGGCCUGAAAGGCAGCCCGCGCACGUUGCAUUGAGAAGCCAGGUGUGAAUUACGGCGGUAGUGAGGCAGGUUGCCAUGGCUCGGCUGAUAGAAGGUGGAACAAGAAGAGUAUGAGCUGCAAGAAGGCUGCACCAUGCACCAGGGUUACAGAGGUUGUUGAAGAGUCAUUUGCGGUAUUUCAACUCAGCAAAGCAACUGUAUGAAGACCAGAAAUGUAGCCAUUUCAAUGCUGCAAACAGCAGCCAGCCCGUGAGGUGAACCGCGUGGUGGAUAAGAACUGAAUUUUAAAGUGAUCUUGAAUUUGAAAUAUGUAAUUCCUCGGAUUCUUCUCACGACUGGGUUAAUGUACAGUUGUCCACUAGAGAGCAGGCUGAGACCAACAAACCCAUUCCGUUCCUGUCAUAAACCGACUUUGAACCCAGGUGUCUUAAUGUAAAUCGUUAGUACAUUAAAGCACUGCACCUUCUAGCUUCAGCUGUGCGUAUAUGUACUGCUAUCAAACUUGAUGGAUAUCGCUUGUGAAGCUUAGUGACCUAAGGUGGUGAUAAUAAAGUAUUCUGGAACCUGGA